UACGUAGGGCGCAAGCGUUGUCCGGAAUUAUUGGGCGUAAAGAGCUCGUAGGCGGCUUGUCACGUCGGAUGUGAAAGCCCGGGGCUUAACCCCGGGUCUGCAUUCGAUACGGGCAGGCUAGAGUUCGGUAGGGGAGAUCGGAAUUCCUGGUGUAGCGGUGAAAUGCGCAGAUAUCAGGAGGAACACCGAUGGCGAAGGCAGGUCUCUGGGCCACUACUGACGCUGAGAAGCGAAAGCAUGGGGAGCGAACAGG
rnacentral:rRNA from 1 species